rnacentral:lncRNA from 1 species
AAUUGAGUUGGUAUUGAUUCCCAGGUCUCAUGCCCCUGAACUACGUGCCCCCGUAGGUUUCUGAUCUACCCCAAGUGGGUUAAGAUAGUGAUCACUAAAGUUAAGGUUCUAUCCGAUGGCAAGGAUAGAGCAGCUCUCCCCAAUGUGGGUAAGAUGUUGGACUCCAUAUAGCUCAAAUGGUUUAUGUCGGUUAGAAGAAACUCCCAAAGUUGUCCCUC